ACUGGGCUGCUUCAGUCGGUAGAGUGUGAGGCUCUUAAUCUCAGGGUCGUGGGUUCAAGCCUCACGUUGGGCA
rnacentral:tRNA from 1 species